rnacentral:lncRNA from 1 species
AUGAUCUUCACUGCACGACAGCUCCAAGAAAAAAGCAGGGAACAAAACCAACCUCUGUACAUGGCAUUCAUUGACCUUGCAAAGGCAUUUGACAGAGUGAAUCGCAGUACUCUCUGGAGCAUCCUCCAAAAAAUCGGGUGCCCUGACAAAUUUGUGAACAUCCUGCGGCUCCUCCAUGAUGACAUGAUGGCAACAGUCUUGGAUAGCAAUGGCUCCCAAAGUGUACUUUGUACAUUUAAGGUGGAAUCAGGUGUCCAGCAGGGAUGUGUUACUGCCUCUACCUUAUUUUCCAUCUUCAUCGCUAUGAUACUUCACCUUGUUGAUGGGAAGCUUCCCACUGGAGUGGAAAUCAUCUGUCGGACAGAUGGCAAGCUAUUUAACCUCAGCAGACUGAAAGCCAAAACCAAGGUCACCACAACAUCUAUUAUAGAACUCCAAUAUGCUGCUGACAACGUAGUCUGUGUGCACUCAGAUGAAGACCUACAAACCACUCUAAACACCUUUGCAGAAGCAUACGAGAAGCUCGGCCUCUCACUGAACAUCGAGAAAACCAAAGUGCUCUUCCAACAGGCACCAGCUAAUCCCUUUGCAAUGCCAGGAAUACAGCUUAAUGGUGUAACAUUAGAAAAUGUUGACCAUUUCCGCUACCUUGGCAGCCACCUCUCCACAAAAGUCAACAUCGACACUGAAAUACAACACCUCCUGAGCUCUGCGAGUGCAGUAUUUUUCAGAACGAAACAGAGAGUGUUUGAUGAUCGGGACAUCCGUAGAUACACCAAGGUGCUUGUUUAUAAAGCCAUUGUCCUCCCAACCCUGCUCUACGCCUGCGAAAUGUGGACGGUCUACAGACGUCACACUCAACUCCUAGAGCAUUUCCAUCAGCGUUGCCUCAGAAAAAUCUUGCAAAUCUCUUGGGAAGACAGGUGGACAAAUGUCAGCGUGCUUGAGGAAGCAAAGACCACCAGCAUUGAAGCGAUGUUCCUGCGCCAUCAACUCCGCUGGGCUGGCCACGUUGUCCGAAUGCCUGAUCACCGUCUCCCAAAACAGUUGCUCUACUCCGAACUCAAGAACGGGAAACGUAAUGUUGGUGGACAGGAAGAGAUUUAA